AACGAACGCUGGCGGCAUGCCUAACACAUGCAAGUCGAACGAGACCUUCGGGUCUAGUGGCGCACGGGUGCGUAACGCGUGGGAACCUGCCCUUAGGUUCGGAAUAACUCCCCGAAAGGGGUGCUAAUACCGGAUAAUGUCUUCGGACCAAAGAUUUAUCGCCUUUGGAUGGGCCCGCGUUGGAUUAGCUAGUUGGUAGGGUAAAAGCCUACCAAGGCGACGAUCCAUAGCUGGUCUGAGAGGAUGAUCAGCCACACUGGGACUGAGACACGGCCCAGACUCCUACGGGAGGCAGCAGUGGGGAAUAUUGGACAAUGGGCGAAGCCUGAUCCAGCAAUGCCGCGUGAGUGAUGAAGGCCUUAGGGUUGUAAAGCUCUUUUACCCGGGAUGAUAAUGACAGUACCGGGAGAAUAAGCUCCGGCUAACUCCGUG
rnacentral:rRNA from 1 species